ACGUUAGCGGCGGACGGGUGAGUAACACGUGGGUAACCUACCUAUAAGACUGGGAUAACUUCGGGAAACCGGAGCUAAUACCGGAUAAUAUUUCGAACCGCAUGGUUCGAUAGUGAAAGAUGGUUUUGCUAUCACUUAUAGAUGGACCCGCGCCGUAUUAGCUAGUUGGUAAGGUAACGGCUUACCAAGGCACGAUACGUAGCCGACCUGAGAGGGUGAUCGGCCACACUGGAACUGAGACACGGUCCAGACUCCUACGGGAGGCAGCAGAU
rnacentral:rRNA from 1 species